GCCGGCUGUUGACAGCGUCACACCUCAGAGGAGAAGCUGCACGACAGAGGUCGCUCCGGGCCUCCACGCCUGCCGAGCCCAGGGCGGCUCCAGCCGCGCACUGUCCCGCGGCUCUGAGGGCAGCGCGGCGGAGCGUCCCCGCCCGGUGCCCUCAGGGGACCCAGAGCCGGCCCGGCCGAGGCUGUCCGGCGCCCCGGCUGCCCGGCUGCCCUCGGCUGCCCGGCUGCCCGGCGCCGUUCCGCACGCCCUCGGGCCGCCGCAGCCCGCACCGGGCCCGUGAGGGAAGGACGCUGGAGGGCCUGCACCGGGGCCCUGCCUGCAGUGCACACAGAAGACAGAGACAAAUUCUGUAGAUGCUGAUGAGCGCAAGAGAGAAGAUCAAGCCAAAAAAAGUGACAACCAGGAAUGGCAGAGGUUGAAAGUAAACCUUACUGGAAAGGCAGCAGGAGAUAGAUGUGUGCCAGGACAAAGGAAGAAGGCAGGCAAAACCGCACAGGCAAUAGACUUAACUCACAGUGCAGGAUUUUUUCCAAAUGCUAUAUCAACAAUACUGCCAUUUCUUAGCACGUGAGUGAAGGUGAGCACAGAAAGCCGCAUCAGUGUCGCCAAUAUUGCAGAGCAAGAUCUACUCAAGUGAACAGCAGUCCUCACAAGAGAAUGGAGAAAUAGCGUCAUAGGAUACAUCAAAAUCAGUUGUUACUGCAGCCCAAGAUGUCUGAUUAUGAUUUCACCAGUCAGUGCUACUGUCAAGUGGUGCUAAUAAAUGGUUACAACAAGGGAAAAAGAAACGAUGCUGCAUAAAUGAGGGAAAUGGGUACUCCUAACUACAUAGAGGAUUGUUUCCAGUCCCACCAGCUGGUCUGAAACUCACCAUUUCCAGUGAAUUCUGGAGUUGCUUCUGUAUUUUGUUCUGGCUAAAUUCUUCUUAUUUUUAGGCUCGAAAAUUCAGAGUCGAAAUACUUUCUGACUACGACUUGCGGGCCCGGGCCCUCGGGGGGAACGGGCGCCACCGGGUGGAUUGCCGAGGUACAGCCGCGAUUUGCCUCCAAGCGGAUCCAGAGUCUUGCGCUGUGUCACAGAAUCACUGAAUAUUCUCCGUUGGAAGCGACCCUCAAGGAUCAUCAAGCCUUUACGCACUUAUGUCUCAACAAUCUUUACAUUGGUCACCUGUACCUAAGGAUUAGAAUUCGGCCUUUAAAAACAUGAUGGCCUUUUGCUGAGACCACUGUCCAUCCAAUGGAGAAAUAGUCUCUCAUAGUCUCCUGUACUAUUUACUCACUACUUUGCCUGAUACUGGGGUUUAAGACCAUCUUUGAUUUUCCUUCUAUAUUAAAGCGGGAGUUAGCUCAAAAAUAUCCAAUGGGUCUUUACAGUGUAUGUAUGCUUCAUGCUACAGCUAAUAUGAAAGAAAGUAUUAUGAAGGCAUUGGCUAAAAUAGGAUGGAUCACAUGGGAAGCAUCAAUAAAGCAAGAGAAAUAUGUUCAACAGAAAACUAUAUGUCUUAGGGAAGAAAAUAUAAUAGAUCAGCAAAAGAAAAGUGUGAUUUCAAACAAUUUUUCUGUCCGGAUUUUGGAUGAGGCCUUCAUUUAUGCUCAUUAACUUUCCAAAUAGGUCCUUAAUUUUUAAAUAAUGUCUUGGAUGUGAAAAUCUAUGUGUAAAAGUUUCUUUUCAUCCAGAAGAACAGUUUGUUUCUGUGAAAACAAACUAAUUUUUCAUAUGUGAAUAUGUCUGAUUAUUAAUAGUACAGGCAAUGGUGUUUUAAGAGAAAUAAUCCUGUUUCCUGGUUUCAUGAAUAUUGAAUGAUUUUAAACCUUUUUCUGCGUAACAGCUUACAAUGACCCUCCUUAUUUUCUCAUAUGCACAGCCUAGUCAAUACUGUAAGGACAUUUUCAUAAAAGAUCGGGAGAGUUUUCCUAGAAGGAGACUGAGCUUGAUUUUUACCUCUCCCAGGCAAGGAUCAGUUGACCAUGAAGAGAUGCAGUUCUUGUAUUAUGCAGCAAAUUCCUCUUACAGAUCCAAUUAUGCAAGAAUGACACACAGGAAGUCCUGUGUUUAGCCUAAUGAUGUGUUUCCUGAGUUUCUGACUGGGGAUUUGCAUUUGUGUUCUUAAUUUACUUCCUGUAUAGGAGCAUCAAUGGCUGUUACAUCUUCAAUGCCCAGCCUGUGGGUGCUGGUUGGCAGCAGCUCAGUAGGAGUCAAAAAGGAGAUGGUCCCUCUGAGCUCACCAUUGGUGCAGCCUCACCAUGUGGUCCAUGUGCAGCAGUGGGCCCCAGCAGCUGGAGAAUGACAUGAAGGUCCUCUGGAGGAGGCAGCUGAGCUGGUGAGGGGCUAGAAGGCACAUCCUGGGAGGAGCAGCUGUGGGAUCUAGACCUGUCUGGUUAGGAGAGAAGGCAGCUGAGAGGUGACCGUGGGGCUUUUUACCAAUUCCUGAGCAAUGGACAUGGAGAGGCAGGUGCUGCGCUCUUCUCCCUGGGACUCAGGGACAAGACUUGUGGGAAUGGCUCAGAGCUGUGCCAGGAGAGGUUCAGACUAGACAUGAGGGAACAUUUCUUUACCAGGAGGGUGGUCAUAUGCUGAAACAGGUCUCCUAGAGAGGGAGUUGAUGUCCCAAGUUUUGAAGAGACAUUUGGGCAGUGACCUUAAAAACAACUCGGAUUUUUGGUCAGCCCUUGAGAAGACAGGCAGCUGUACUAGCUGGUUGUUGUAGGUUUCUUCCAACUGUAAUAGUCCAUUCUAUUUGAAACCUAUUGGCUGAGUACAAUAUCCUUGUUUUAAAAUGUCCAUCCAUUCUUUUUGGUUUUCAUAAGUAAAUUAGACGGCUAUGAAUUAGAACUAAGAUUUAGUGCAUUUAUACAAAAGCAUUAGGACUAUGUACAUUUAAAUAAAGGAAAUUAAAUUGCUUUCUAGUUUUGCAUGGGCCUCACUGGGAACAAGAAAUACAGCAUACAUUAUACAAGCAACCUGAUUGUAGGCUUCUCAGUAUUUGUGGAAUGAAAAAAUUACUGUAGUUAGUCCAGAAGAGUGGCACAUCUCAAGGUAGUCCAUGAGUAAAAACAAAGCUACAUUUCCAAACCAGUGAAAACAGAUAUUCCCAAUUUGUUUCCAGAGAAAACUGUAUGUUUUCAAUAAAUUUUAGAACAGACAUUUUAAUAUGUGUCAGUGGUAUCAAAGCCCAAGCUCCUAUUGCAAACUUGGGACCACAGUGCUGCUACAGCCAGUAUCUUCAUAUCACUUUUAUUUUUUUUUCUUCUUUUAAAACCUUGUAUUACAAAGAUUUAUGAGUAUGCUAACCAUUAUGGUUUGUGAGAAGAUCCAUAGGCCCCAUAGCAUAUCAGAGCUGUUGCUUGAUAAUUAGUCUAGAGAGCUAAAAAAGAAUGUCACAGGCUGUCUUAUAGAGCAUGUUAGUAAUAUUUGUAGGUGUAAGUUUAAUAUUACUCAGUUACAUGUACAAAGCUUGCUUACUUGAGUGAAGUCUGCAGAACUACUUCCAAGAUAUCAGUAAUCACACCACCAGCAGAUACUAUAUGCAAUAUUAGUUUUACUAGAAUCUGAAGAGAUGUCAAUGUCUGCACAGGUGUCCUGGUUUAACCUGGACAGAGAUCAUUUUCUUCUCAGUUGCUGGUCCAGUGACUGCUGUAUUUUGUAUUUGCCAUACUAUUCUCAGUAUGAGAAUAAUAUUGAUAUUUGGAUGCUUUUGGUUGUUGCUCAGCAGUGCUCAUCCUAAGUCAAAGACUCUUCUGUGCUCUGUCAGCAAGGAGGUACACAAGAAGCUGGGGAGAAGCAUGUCCAGGACAUGGAUCUGAACUGGCCAAAGGGAUAUUCCGUACCACAGAGCAUCACAGGAUGUGACAUGCCAUGUUAAUAUGUAUGAACUACAGGUUCUGUAAAUGCUUAUGACUAAAAAUUCAAUUUACAGAUUCUAAGUGUGAAUGCAUAUGAAAGUACUCCAGUGACAAAGGGACAACUUCCUAGAAAAAAAAACUACGUUAUAUCCUUUCCCUACAAACCAGCUGAUAUGAGACGAAUUAUUAUUGUCAGUUCUUUAUUCCAACAGUUGUCUGUAUCUGAAUUUCAAAACCAUUUGUAUGCUGGUCUUUGUUAGGAGCAGUAAAUUCUUCUCUGUUGCCAAGAAAACCUUUUUUUGCAGUGAUUUGUCCACUUUCUUGCAUUGCACAUGCCUCCUGUACGUAAAAGAAGUUGAAAAUACUGCAAACAAUUGUCUCUGGAGAUCAUGAUCUCUGACCUUUAACUGCAUUUUACUACAGCUUAAAUUCCACAUUUUGUUCAGCAUAGGAUUCACACAAAAUUCUUCUAAAUAGGCUCUACCAUCUGCUAUUUAGAGCUGCUCCCAUUGUAAAAGCCUUUCCCCCCACAUUUCAUUGUUUUACAAGUAAAAUGUUACUGGUUGUAUUUUUAGAAUGUUUUAAUCCUUUGCAUCUUUAAUGAGAAGUGAACAUGCUAAUAGUCUGCUAUGCAUUUUCUUUCUAUGACUUUCUGCCAAACACAGCUAAACCAUCAGCCAAAACACUAAAGGUUUUUACGUUAAUACAAAUUUAAAUAGUGGGUUUGAAAAAUGCAGUUGUUUCAUAACAUUUUAGUUCCCAUCUACUCAACAAACAUAUACAAAGAAAGCAGAUACUUCUAGCUGUGAUAAUUUCUUGUUUUGACAGCUUGUGGCCAAAUCUCCUUUGGCUACUCUUGGAAGCAGUAGAAUUGUUAGUAGUCUCAAGCUCUAAGAAUGAAAAGGUUAAGAAGUGCUACUUAAUUAUACUAAGAAUCUGAUUUAAAAUGUAAGAUCUAAGUUUUCUUAUUCUGAAUGUGAUGUUAUAUAUUUGUUAUUUAGGCUGCACAGUUUGAAUAAAACCAAUUCAUUUUUUAUAGAAGUCAAAAAUGGUACAAAGCAUAUAAAUUAAAGCCUUUCAUAUUGUAUUUGAUAUUUAGAAUGAAGAGGAUGAAAAAAUAAAAGAAACAAACCAGAAAUAAACUACUUGAAGCUGUGGAA